GUGGUGAGAUUCGGAAACGAGGGUAUAGCGCCCAAAAGCCUGUGCAGGAAUGACAGCUCACAAUACUAUUAUGGAUGACAAAAUGGCGGCAAGGCGACGGUCAACCGGUUGCCUUGCUCAUCUCAGACCCCAGCGAAUCCCGCCACAUCAAGAAUGUAUUGUUUCUAACGGAACGGGACAUUUGCUCGGCAAAGAAAUGAGCUUAGCAAACCAAAAACUUAAAAAGACUUUCGAAUUUAUUUUAGUCUAUACAAUUUAUUUUAUUUGAACUCACGUUUGUGUACAUAUAAAUAAUAUCUAAGUACAUAUAUCAGUGAAAUCGUAUUAAAUGUUAUUUUUUUUUUAAGUGUACAAUAAUAAAUCAGGUGAUUUUCAAAUAAUAUAACCCCAAUUUAUUUCAGUUCAAUCCACGCAUCUAUAGAAAUAAAAUUAAUUUUUAAAAUAAAUCGCGUCGAACAAGUUUAAGGUAGGUAAGGUGUUAACAUUUUGAAAGAAUAUUACCAAAUACUAAUUUUUGAUUAUUGGAUAUCCAUUUCCGUUUAUCAUUGAUUUACCUAUAAAAAAAUAUCUCAAACUAACAAAAGUGAAGACUAAUUCGAUAAAUUGUACCCGAAAAACC